rnacentral:rRNA from 1 species
CCUACGGGAGGCAGCAGUGAGGAAUAUUGGUCAAUGGACGAGAGUCUGAACCAGCCAAGUAGCGUGAAGGAUGACUGCCCUAUGGGUUGUAAACUUCUUUUAUAUGGGAAUAAAAUGAUCCACGUGUGGGAUUUUGUAUGUACCAUAUGAAUAAGGAUCGGCUAACUCCGUGCCAGCAGCCGCGGUAAUACGGAGGAUCCGAGCGUUAUCCGGAUUUAUUGGGUUUAAAGGGAGCGUAGGUGGAUUGUUAAGUCAGUUGUGAAAGUUUGCGGCUCAACCGUAAAAUUGCAGUUGAAACUGGCAGUCUUGAGUACAGUAGAGGUAGGCGGAAUGCGUGGUGUAGCGGUGAAAUGCUUAGAUAUCACGAAGAACUCCGAUUGCGAAGGCAGUUCACUGGACUGCAACUGACACUGAGGCUCGAAAGUGUGGGUAUCAAACAGGAUUAGAUACCCUUGUAGUC